AGUGAACGCUGGCGGUAGGCCUAACACAUGCAAGUCGAACGGCAGCACAGUAAGAGCUUGCUCUUACGGGUGGCGAGUGGCGGACGGGUGAGGAAUACAUCGGAAUCUACUUUUUCGUGGGGGAUAACGUAGGGAAACUUACGCUAAUACCGCAUACGGACUACGGGUGAAAGCAGGGGAUCUUCGGACCUUGCGCGAUUGAAUGAGCCGAUGUCGGAUUAGCUAGUUGGCGGGGUAAAGGCCCACCAAGGCGACGAUCCGUAGCUGGUAUGAGAGGAUGAUCAGCCACACUGGAACUGAGACACGGUCCAGACUCCUACGGGAGGCAGCAGUGGGGAAUAUUGGACAAUGGGCGCAAGCCUGAUCCAGCCAUACCGCGUGGGUGAAGAAGGCCUUCGGGUUGUAAAGCCCUUUUGUUGGGAAAGAAAAGCAGCAGGUUAAUACCCCGCUGUUCUGACGGUACCCAAAGAAUAAGCACCGGCUAACUUCGUG
rnacentral:rRNA from 1 species